AGACAAGGCUUUCCAAGCAAGAUGAAGCCCAACAUCAUCUUCGUACUUUCUCUGCUCCUCAUCUUGGAGAGGCAAGCAGCUGUGAUGGGACAAAAAGGUGGAUCAAAAGGCCAGUUACCAAGUGGAUCUUCCCAAUUUCCACAAAGACAAAAGGGCCAGCACUAUUCUGGACAAAAAGACAAACAACAUACUGAAUCCAAAGGCAGUUUUUCUAUUCAACGCACAUAUCAUGUAGAUGCCAAUGAUCGUGACCGGACCCGAAAAAGUCAGCAGUAUUAUUCGAAUGCCCAACAUAAAACGACAAAAUCAGAACAACACCUACGUGGAAGUCAAGAACUGCUCAAUUAUAAACUAGAAGGCAGAGACAGUGCUAAAUCAAAAGGUCAUUUUCAUGUGAUAGUUAUACAUCAUAAAGGAGGCCAAGAUCAUCAUGGGACACAAAAUCCUUCUCAAGAUCAGGGGAAUAGCCCAUCUGGAAAGGGAAUAUCCAGUCAAUAUUCAAACACAGGAGAAAGGCUACGGGUUCGUGGACUAAGUAAAGAACAAGCUUCAGCCUCUGGUGCACAAAAAGGUAGAACACAAGGUGGAUCCCAAACCAAUUAUGUUCUCCAAACUGAAGAGCUAGUAGCUAAGAAACAACAACGUGAGACUCAAAAUUCUCAUCGAUGAAGAGAAGGCACGUGGCAAAUCUCAAAAACAGGUAACAAUUCCCAGUCAAGAGCAAGAGCAUAGCCAAAAGGCAAAUAAAAUAUCAUACCAAUCUUCAAGUACAGAAGAAAGACGACUCCACUAUGGAGAAAAUGGUGUCCAGAAAGAUGUAUCCCAAAGCAGUAGCUAUAGCCAAACUGAAGAGAAAGCACAUGGCAAAUCUCAAAAACAGAUAACUAUUCCCAGUCAAGAGCAAGAGCAUAGCCAAAAGGCAAAUAAAAUAUCAUACCAAUCUUCAAGUACAGAAGAAAGACGACUCCACUAUGGAGAAAAUGGUGUCCAGAAAGAUGUAUCCCAAAGCAGUAGCUAUAGCCAAACUGAAGAGAAAGCACAUGGCAAAUCUCAAAAACAGAUAACUAUUCCCAGUCAAGAGCAAGAGCAUAGCCAAAAGGCAAAUAAAAUAUCAUACCAAUCUUCAAGUACAGAAGAAAGACGACUCCACUAUGGAGAAAAAGGUGUUCAGAAAGUUGUAUCCCAAAGCAGUAUUUAUAGCCAAACUGAAAACCUAAUAGCAGGCAAAUCUCAAAUUCAGGCACCAAAUCCUAAGCAACAGUCACGGCAUGGUGAAAAUGCAAACGGAGAGUCUGGCCAAUCUACAAAUAGAGAACAAGACCUACUCAGUCAUGAACAAAAAGUCAGGCACCAACAUGGAUCUCAUGGGGCACUGGAUGUUGUAAUUGUAGAGCAUGAAGGUGACGGUAAUCAUCAUUUGGUACAACGUCGUAACUACAACAGAAAUCCAUUAUCUACAUAAACCUACCAUUCAGUAACCAUGUGAAAGGAUGGAUCAAUAUCAAGGUAUCACUUGACCUCAGUGAAUUCUGUGAUGUUUCUGAUAUGCACACUCCCAUGUAGUUUCAGAUUCUUGGUCCAUGGAUGACACCACCUGCCCGUGCUUCCUUGAAUUAGGCUUUCUCAACCUGAAGCCCCUUCAAACUUCCAAUAAAGAGAUCAUUUUCUGCUUCAUCUGCUUUUG